UACGUAGGGGGCGAGCGUUGUCCGGAUUCAUUGGGCGUAAAGAGCUCGUAGGCGGUCUGUCGCGUCGGCUGUGAAAACCUAGGGCUCAACCUGGGCCUGCAGCCGAUACGGGCAGACUAGAAUUCGGUAGGGAGACUGGAAUUGACCUGGUGUAGCGGUGAAAUGCGCAGAAUAUCAGGAGGAACACCGGUGGCGAAGGCGGGUCUCUGGGCCGAUAUUGACGCUGAGGAGCGAAAGCGUGGGGAGCGAACAGG
rnacentral:rRNA from 1 species